UCAUAUCUCUAGUUUGUUCGUGGAUCUGACGCCAUCACAACCGUUCAUUUCACGACCAUCCAAUGGCGUUAGAUUCACGCACAAACUCGCGAUCUGUCU
rnacentral:pre_miRNA from 13 species